GACGAACGCUGGCGGCGUGCCUAAUACAUGCAAGUAGAACGCUGAAGGAGGAGCUUGCUUCUCUGGAUGAGUUGCGAACGGGUGAGUAACGCGUAGGUAACCUGCCUGGUAGUGGGGGAUAACUAUUGGAAACGAUAGCUAAUACCGCAUAAUAGUAGAUGUUGCAUGACAUUUGCUUAAAAGGUGCAAUUGCAUCACUACCAGAUGGACCUGCGUUGUAUUAGCUAGUUGGUGGGGUAACGGCUCACCAAGGCGACGAUACAUAGCCGACCUGAGAGGGUGAUCGGCCACACUGGGACUGAGACACGGCCCAGACUCCUACGGGAGGCAGCAGUAGGGAAUCUUCGGCAAUGGACGGAAGUCUGACCGAGCAACGCCGCGUGAGUGAAGAAGGUUUUCGGAUCGUAAAGCUCUGUUGUAAGAGAAGAACGAGUGUGAGAGUGGAAAGUUCACACUGUGACGGUAUCUUACCAGAAAGGGACGGCUAACUACGUG
rnacentral:rRNA from 1 species